rnacentral:snRNA from 1 species
GUGCUCGCUUCGGCAACACAUAUACCAAA